AUGCAUUAACACUACACUGUAAUUGUAACACUUAGAUGUGUAAGAUAUUUUAUAGAAGUCCCGCCUUGUGUUUUUCCUACAUUGCUUUGCUGUGUAUAUCAUUAUACGAGAGUUUUUGCCGCUUCCCUUUCAUGAAGAGAAGAGCGAGCGAGUAUCUGGCGAGUUAUGAACAUAACCUGAAGAUUGUCGCCCUUGUUUUGCGAGAUAACAUAGCAUUUGAGGCAUAUCUCCGCUUUAUAGUUAAUGUCGUUUGAUACACUCACAGGAUGGAUGACAAAAUGAUACAGGACACGUGAUCCAACAGAAUGGGCUCUUCUGUGCUGAGCAACAAUACACUCACUGUAUGUAUGGCUUUGCAAUAGGAGUGCCCUGGGCGGUCUCAUGUUUUCAUAGUAAAUUGACUACAAAGAUGGCACUGGAUUCCUUGUGAAACUACAGUACAAAUGUAUAGGAGCAUUUCCUAUCCCUUUGUCCAAUGACAAGUGUUUGUGGAAAACACUACAAAGUAUGUAAUUUUGAGUGACUGAUUAUUUCAGAAAUGUGUGAUGUCUCAGUGUUGUCUUGACUAGAACAUUAUGAAAUUGAAUUUCUUGUGCCAAUGAAGGUUUCACAAACUCAAUUGAAAUGCAUCUAGGGAGUUGUAUUGUUAAAUUCAGUUGCUUUGCUAGUAAACCUAUUUAACUUUUUUCAAAAAAAAAAACGUAACUAUGGUAGCAUGAGAAGUUGAGUGGCCAGGACCAAAGUUUGCAUACAUACAAUACUGUGAAAUGAGUGGAAAUGCAAAAUGCAGCUUUCCUUACAAUGUUACUAUGGCCGGAUUCACUUUAUUCAGAGACUUUUGUCUGAUACAACAUGGUGAAAUGUUAAAACAUAUAAAUCAUGUAGAUUCCAAUAAGGAAGUUGGCACGGAUGGCAGGGGGUGCACUCUAAUGUGAAGUAUGCAACCAAUUGUGCUUGCUACACAACGUACAGUAGGCCUACAGCGAAUGAGUACAUGCAUGUGAUUGAACAUAUGGUCUACGUACAGUACAGAAUGGUCAAGCCACGUUCACUGGAAGUGCCUGAAGAAGGGGGAGAUUAUAUUGGUCCCAUGAUUAUUUGUGGGUGAUUGUGCCUCUGAUGGAGCCGAAGCUCAAUUAGCGCCACCGCAGCAACAUUAAGACUUCGAUUUUGUCUUCAAAAUAAAAGUGGAAAUAUA